GAUGAACGCUGGCGGCGUGCCUAAUACAUGCAAGUCGAGCGAACGGACGAGAAGCUUGCUUCUCUGAUGUUAGCGGCGGACGGGUGAGUAACACGUGGAUAACCUACCUAUCAUACUGGGAUAACUUCGGGAAACCGGAUCUAAUACCGGAUAAUAUUUUGAACCGCAUGGUUCAAAAGUGAAAGACGGUCUUGCUGUCACUUAUAGAUGGAUCCGCGCUGCAUUAGCUAGUUGGUAAGGUAACGGCUUACCAAGGCAACGAUGCAUAGCCGAACUGAGAGGGUGAUCGGCCACACUGGAACUGAGACACGGUCAAGACUCCUACGGGAGGCAGCAGUAGGGAAUCUUACGCAAUGGGCGAAAGCCUGACGGAGCAACGCCGCGUGAGUGAUGAAGGUCUUCGGAUCGUAAAACUCUGUUAUUAGGGAAGAACAUAUGUGUAAGUAACUGUGCACAUCUUGACGGUAACUAAUCAGAAAGCCACGGCUAACUACGUG
rnacentral:rRNA from 1 species